GUGAGGAAUAUUGCGCAAUGGAGGCAACUCUGACGCAGCCAUGUCGCGUGCAGGAAGAAGGCGCUACGCGUUGUAAACUGCUUUUAACCGGGAAGAAACCCCAGGACGUGUCCUGGGUUGACGGUACCGGAGGAAUAAGCACCGGCUAACUUCGUGCCAGCAGCCGCGGUAAUACGAAGGGUGCAAGCGUUAUCCGGAUUCAUUGGGUUUAAAGGGUGCGUAGGCGGAGCGUUAAGUCAGUGGUGAAAUCCUGCAGCUUAACUGUAGACUUGCCAUUGGUACUGGCGCUCUUGAGUGCGCUUGAAGUGGGCGGAAUGUGCCGUGUAGCGGUGAAAUGCUUAGAUAUGGCACAGAACACCAAUUGCGAAGGCAGCUCACUAAGGCGAUACUGACGCUGAGGCACGAAAGCGUGGGGAUCGAACAGGAUUAGAUACCCGGGUAGUCC
rnacentral:rRNA from 1 species